rnacentral:rRNA from 1 species
GAUGAACGCUGGCGGCGUGCCUAAUACAUGCAAGUCGAGCGAACAGACGAGGAGCUUGCUCCUCUGACGUUAGCGGCGGACGGGUGAGUAACACGUGGAUAACCUACCUAUAAUACUGGGAUAACUUCGGGAAACCGGAGCUAAUACCGGAUAAUAUAUUGAACCGCAUGGUUCAAUAGUGAAAGACGGUUUUGCUGUCACUUAUAGAUGGAUCCGCGCCGCAUUAGCUAGUUGGUAAGGUAACGGCUUACCAAGGCGACGAUGCGUAGCCGACCUGAGAGGAUGAUCGGCCACACUGGAACUGAGACACGGUCCAGACUCCUACGGGAGGCAGCAGUAGGGAAUCUUCCGCAAUGGGCGAAAGCCUGACGGAGCAACGCCGCGUGAGUGAUGAAGGUCUUCGGAUCGUAAAACUCUGUUAUUAGGGAAGAACAAAUGUGUAAGUAACUAUGCACGUCUUGACGGUACCUAAUCAGAAAGCCACGGCUAACUACGUG